rnacentral:rRNA from 1 species
AUUUGAAAUCUGGCGCAAGCCCGAGUUGUAAUUUGUAGAGGAUGCUUCUGGGUAGCGGCCGGUCUAAGUUCCUUGGAACAGGACGUCAUAGAGGGUGAGAAUCCCGUAUGUGACUGGCUUGCACCCUCCACGGAGCUCCUUCGACGAGUCGAGUUGUUUGGGAGUGCAGCUCUAAAUGGGAGGAAAAUUUCUUCUAAAGCUAAAUACCGGCCAGAGACCGAUAGCGCACAAGUAGAGUGAUCGAAAGAUGAAAAGCACUUUGGAAAGAGAGUUAAAAAGCACGUGAAAUUGUUGAAAGGGAAGCGCCCGCAAUCAGACUUUGCGGCAGGGUUCGGCCGGUCUUCUGCCCGGGUUACUCGCUGUCCGGAGUCCCUCAUCGUCUGGAACCGCUGGAUAAGACCUUGGGGAAUGUGGCUCCCCUCGGGGAGU